GUCCUACGGGGCGCAGCAGUGGGGAAUAUUGCACAAUGGGGGAAACCCUGAUGCAGCGACGCCGCGUGAUCGAUGAAGUAUUUUGGUAUGUAAAGCUCUAUCAGCAGGGAAGAAAAUGACGGUACCUGACUAAGAAGCCCCGGCUAACUACGUGCCAGCAGCCGCGGUAAUACGUAGGGGGCAAGCGUUAUCCGGAUUUACUGGGUGUAAAGGGAGCGUAGACGGUUCUGCAAGCCAGAUGUGAAAGCCCUGGGCUCAACCCCGGGACUACGUUUGGAACUGAAAGGC
rnacentral:rRNA from 1 species